AUGACUAUUCUGAAUAAAACUUGCCUUAUGUGUUUCGUCUCCUUUGUGAUUUGCCGUUGUGACUCUUUGUCAAUUGUUUCAUGCUUGCUUACUCUAGUUCUCAUUUCAUUCCAAGAGUUUAUAUUAUCAAUAUGCUUAACACUAUCCACAUGUUCUUUCAGUGUCUCAUUAGCAUGCCUCCAAUCACUAAAUCCAUCAUGCCCCAAUGAACUCUUGCACUCAUAAUUGAAAAGCUUACAGCCAAAAAAAAACACUUUAUUGGCGUGUUUUGAAUAA
rnacentral:rRNA from 1 species